UGCGCGGGGUGACGCGGCGGCGGCCGCGGACGUGCCAGGGUGCUGCGGGCUGCAUGCCUCGCCGGCGCGCUCGUAGUCCCGCUCGCCCGCCGCCACCACUCCUCCUCGCCGCGUGCCGCCGCCGCCACCGCUCCUCCUCCCCCACCGCCGCCGUUCCUCCUCCCCGCCGCGGAUCUGCGCCACCGUCGCCACCACCUCCUCCUCCUACUCCCCGCCGCCUCCACCUCCUCCUCCUCCACCACCUCCUCUCCUCCUGUGUCCCUUAGGAUCGCGAGGCAUGCAGCCCGUGAUGGUGCGGCGGACUAUGGCGUCACGGUUCGGCGAGAGGCCGCGUCGCCGGAGAGCUAGCUCGACGUGCAGUGCCGGUGGAGCUCGGCCGGGCUGCAGCUGCCGGACGGGACCAUCCUGGUGGAGCAGGUGGCCGCCGCCAUCAGGAUUGGAUGAUGCGUCAAGUUUGCCGGCAAGAACGAGGAAGAGAAGCAUGAGUAUUGGCGGCGGCGCGAGCUCCACCCCCCUGCGGCCAAAAUUGCUCCUGAAGCCCGAGGACGCGCUGCUGCUGGGCCAGGUCCACCGCCUCGUCACGUCGCAAGAGGUGACGAAGGCGAUCCAGGCCUAGCGGCAGGACAAGGCGCGGCGGUGCAAGGAGGCGGCGCCCGACGACCGGCGGCCGCCGCCGCAGCCCGGGCCCGCCGUCGCCGCCGGCCAGGCGAGCGCUCGCGUGCGGCUCGCUCGCUCGCUCGUCCCCUGUCCGGCGUUCGCGUUCUGAGUGAACGAACUGCGAGUUCCGGCCUCCGAUGAUGAAUCGCUGACUCGCCGCGGUGUUCGUGCAGGAGUGUCAGCGGGCGGAUAAGUCGGACCAGCAGCACCGCGGCGGCGGCGGGUCCCGUGGCGUCGGGGCGAGGGGGCGGCACUGGCGGCCGUCGCUGCAGAGUAUCUCCGAGUCGGCGAGCUGACGCGGCGUGCGCCGAGGCCGGCUGCUACCCGGCCGCGGCGAGCGGCUCCGGAGCGACAGACCGAGCGCGACGGCAUUUUCAACAAGAAGCGCUUGCAUUUUCAACGAAUGAUGGUUACUCACUCGACGUCUUUGUUGUUGGUUGGCAUGACGAGUUGCAGGAAGCCUAAAAUUGAAACAGUGUAUGAAUGCAAGACACCUUGCUCAUGCUGCCUGCUCUUUUAUUCAAAGAUCGUACCAUGCCAGCUGCAUCUUCAUUAUGAAGCCGAAGAAACAAGACACUCUCCAAGUUCAUACAAGCAGUCUCCUUUCAGCUAUGGCCUAUGUUCCCAUUUGUCCCCUCUGCAAUGGAAUCCGGAACUAUCCUCUCCUAAAAGAAGCUACAAAGGAUCAAGUGCAGAUAUUUGAACGAUUGUUUUCCACUGACCUGUUUCUGACAACCAACGAAAAAUGUUAAAUGUUCUUCUCCAAUGAAUGCAAAGGAUGGAGAACCUGGUGCUUAAGCUCCUUCUCCUCGUCCUCCUAUUACAACUCUCGCUGCUGCUAUCCUGACCAUUCGGCGUCGCAUGUCCAGCAUCCGCCUUCACAAUGCCCAUUCAGUCAUUCUUAUGCAGCCUCCGCCCCGAGAUGAAAGCUUCGACUUCAUCACGCGGAUAUAAUCUGAACCUCAGGAGCCAGCAUAUUCCCUAAUCUUUCAUCGUGCGGCAACAACGAUAACCAAAGUUGCCGGUAUUUUGUGCCAUCAGCAACGUCGGGCCUUUUCAAGUUAACGUGUACAAAUUAAACUAAUUACAAAGCUCCACCAUCAUAUUGUUAUGCAGACCCAUUCUCAUCUGAUCAUUGUAAUAUGAUAUUUCAAGACUUAAUUCUUGUACUAUAGUAUAGCCAUAUCUGACUCUGUUUUCUAUCGGUACCUAAGUCCUUGAUCGCUUCAGCCUGCGUAGCAUUCCGUCAAAUGAACGAUGUCUGCUAAAACCGUUCUGCAUCA